GGUGCCCGUACCGCAAACCGACACAGGUAGGCGAGGAGAGAAUCCUAAGGUGAGCGAGAGAACUCUCGUUAAGGAACUCGGCAAAAUGACCCCGUAACUUCGGGAGAAGGGGUGCUUUUUAGGGUGAAUAGCCCGGAAAAGCCGCAGUGAAUAGGCCCAGGCGACUGUUUAGCAAAAACACAGGUCUCUGCGAAGCCGCAAGGCGAAGUAUAGGGGCUGACGCCUGCCCGGUGCUGGAAGGUUAAGGGGAGAGGUUAGCGUAAGCGAAGCUUU
rnacentral:rRNA from 1 species